UACGGUUAGUUUUGCAGGUUUGCAUUUCAGCGGAUAUAUGUAUGUAUAGCUGUGCAAAUCCAUGCAAAACUGAUUGUGAU
rnacentral:pre_miRNA from 10 species